GACGAACGCUGGCGGCGUGCUUAACACAUGCAAGUCGAACGAAGUGGCGAACGGGUGAGUAACGCGUAAUCAACCUGCCCAUCAGAGGGGGAAAACAGUGGGAAACGACUGCUAAAACCGCAUACGGAAGGAGGGGAAGGCGUGUGAUUGGCUAGUUGGAGGGGUAACGGCCCACAAAGGCGAUGAUCAGUAGCCGGUCUGAGAGGAUGAACGGCCACAUUGGGACUGAGACACGGCCCAGACUCCUACGGGAGGCAGCAGUGGGGAAUCUUCCGCAAUGGACGAAAGUCUGACGGAGCAACGCCGCGUGAGUGAUGACGGCCUUCGGGUUGUAAAGCUCUGUUAAUCGGGACGCGGUACCGGAAUAGAAAGCCACGGCUAACUACGUGCCAGCAGCCGCGGUAAUAC
rnacentral:rRNA from 1 species